CUCGUGUCGUGAGAUGUCGGGUUAAGUCCCGCAACGAGCGCAACCCCUGCAUCCAGUUGCCAUCGGGUAAUGCCGGGCACUCGUGGAAGGACUGCCAUCGACAAGAUGGAGGAAGGUGGGGAGUGACGUCAAGUCAUCAUGGCCCUUAUGUCCAGGGCGACACACGUGCUACAAUGGCCGGCACAACGGGAAGCGAGUUCGCGAGGACAAGCGGAUCCCUUAAAGCCGGUCGCAGUUCGGAUUGAAGUCUGCAACUCGACUUCAUGAAGCUGGAAUCGCUAGUAAUCGUGGAUCAGCCAAGCCGCGGUGAAUACGUUCCCGGGCCUU
rnacentral:rRNA from 1 species